rnacentral:rRNA from 1 species
GACGAACGCUGGCGGCGUGCUUAACACAUGCAAGUCGAGCGAUGAAGCACCUUCGGGUGUGAAUUAGCGGCGAACGGGUGAGGAACACGUGAAGAAUCUGCCUUCAACUCUGGGAUAACUCCGGGAAACCGGGGCUAAUACCGGAUAUGAGCCUUGAUCGCAUGAUCGGGGCUGGAAAGUUUUUCGGUUGAAGAUGACUUCGCGGCCUAUCAGCUUGUUGGUGAGGUAAUGGCUCACCAAGGCGACGACGGGUAGCUGGUCUGAGAGGACGGCCAGCCACAAUGGGACUGAGACACGGCCCAUACUCCUACGGGAGGCAGCAGUGGGGAAUAUUGCGCAAUGGACGAAAGUCUGACGCAGCGACGCCUCGUGAGGGACGAAGGUCUUCGGAUUGUAAACCUCUUUCAGCAGGGACGAAGCGAAAGUGACGGUACCUGCAGAAGAAGCACCGGCUAACUAUGUG